rnacentral:rRNA from 1 species
GACGUAGGGCGCGAGCGUUGUCCGGAUUUAUUGGGCGUAAAGAGCUCGUAGGCGGUGUGUCGCGUCGGCCGUGAAAACCUGGGGCUUAACUCUGGGCUUGCGGUCGAUACGGGCAUCACUGGAGUUCGGCAGGGGAGACUGGAAUUCCUGGUGUAGCGGUGAAAUGCGCAGAUAAUCAGGAGGAACACCGGUGGCGAAGGCGACAUCCUGGACCGG